GAUGAAGAACGUAGCGAAAUGCGAUAAGUAAUGCGAAUUGCAGAAUUUCCGUGAGUCAUCGAAUCUUUGAACGCACAUUGCGCCCACUGGUAUUCCGGUGGGCAUGCCUGUUCGAGCGUCAUUAUCCUCCCUCAACCCCCGGGUUUGGUGUUGGACCCAAGUUGUGUGAACAACUGGUCUCAAAGACAAUGACGGCGUCCGUGGGACCCUCGGUGCAACGAGCUUUUAGGAGCACGCAUCGAGUUGCAAGGACCUUCCGGGCCGGUCUCCUUUACCAUUUUACAAGGUUGACCUCGGAUCAGGUAGGAAUACCCGCUGAACUUAAGCAUAUCAAUAAGCGGAGGA
rnacentral:misc_RNA from 1 species